CCUUGAGCUAUCAGAGGCAGCUGCCUCGGUCGCGCCCGGAGACGAAGCCGGACGACAGGAAACCUGGAGCAGCGCGGGCGAGCGCGAAGCGGCCCGGAGCAUCGAGGAAGAGCUCGUGGCCCGGCAAACCAGCGCAGAGCUUGAGGAGGAAGAGCGCGCCGCGUGGAGGGAUCGGGCGGAGGCCGAGCAGGAGAUGGCAGAGGCCUCGGCUGAGGCGUGGACGGGCGCCCUGGGGACACAAGGGAGGACCGCCGAGGACCCCACGUGGCCGGCUUGAAGGACAAACUCGUCGCCGCAGUCGCCGGCUCAGGAGCAUCGCUCGAAGUCGGUGCAUGAUCCGUUUUGCCGGGCAGAGGUCGAUGCCCGAGCCGCUGCCGACGUAGCCGGUUGUGGCGAGAUGGGCGACCAUGAGCCGAAGGCCGACCAGACCAUCACCAUGGAGUCGCCACCAGCUGUCGAUCCAGCCGAUGAGACCAAGCACGGAGAUGAAGGGGACCGCAGGAGACCGCGCCGACCGGUGGAGGAGUGUAGCCGUCGAGCACGGAGAGGCCGCACCCGGGGGUUCUGGCACCAUGGUUGUCACCAGGCCACAAACCACCGGGCGCGUUGAGCCGAGGCCGGCUGGAAGCGGGACUAGCGCCCGGUCCGCGACUCAGAUGCGGCGGACCUAGGAGGGUUCCGGCGAGGCCAUGAGCAGGUCGCGCACCAGCGAACUGGGUGUGGCGAUAGAUGCCAUGCGUCUGUAGUUUGCCGACAACCGCAUUCGCCUGCAGAACUAUAUUUAGGCAGAGCAGGAACGGAUGCAGCAGCUGGAGUGGACCAUAGAGACCUUUUAUGACCUGAGGGUGGCGGCCUACAACCGCCUUCUAGGUCGGUACCGUGAGGCCAGGACCCAGCUCAUCACCAAGGAGGAGCUGCGCCAAGCUCAAGGUGCUGCAGCUGAAGCACCGGAUCUCCAGAGCCGGCUAGACCAGGCCGGCUGAGAGCGCGACUAGACCGUGGCGGACCGUGACCGGCUUCAGGCAGAGGUGGGCCGACUAGCGGUGGAGCGGGACCAGACGGCGACCGCCCAUCAAGCCAAGCUGGACCGGCUUGCGUAGGAGCACCGCAAGGCGACAACCCAUAAGGAUGAGCAGGUGGCCACAACCGCCAAGAAGGUUGCCCAGCUCAAGGAGGACCACAACUGCCACGCCAACACGUGGUUGCUGAAGGAACAUCGAGUGCUGGCGGAGGUGCAGCACAUCGACGAGUUGCUCACCCGUAAGUGUUUUGUUUUACUUCUUUGUCUUUCCGAGUCCGGCUGGUGUGGUGGCUUGGGGCCGGUGCGGCAUGGCUUAUCAGCUUCGUGUUGUCUUGGUAUCCGAGCGUCGAUCUAGGCCGGUUGUCCGCCCGGCGAGCCGGGGCGGAAGACGACCUAGCACGGUUGGCAACGCCGAUCGCCACGCGAGCCAACUACAUUGUGUCAUUCACGCCCCCAUGACAGUUCGUCUCAGAACGGGCGGAAUACGGCACGGAGCUCCCUGCCGACAACUUCGGCCUAGUGCUUGAGGACCCGGUGGGCCGCUCGGCCGAGACAGGGUCCGAGGGGGACGUCGAUGUAGCCGCCAUGGACGACACCGACGCCUUAGAGGAGCCGGCGCGGACUGAUGCCGUCGCGGCCAUUGCGUUGAGCUUUUAGCUUUUCCUAUAUUUUGUUCUUAUGCUUGAACUUUUGAUUAUUUGGCAAGUCCACCCACUAGGUGUAAGUUUAUGUAAUGAACUUUUUGGCCGUGAGGUUGUAGAUA